AGGUUUCUGCUUCAAGACCUUUACCUCGGAAGUCGGGUUUGACUUAGCUGAGAUCACGUGUGUGGAGCAAGGAGGACACCUAGCCAGUAUACACAGCCAGGAAGAGGAGACCUUCGUCCUUGACCAGCAAAAGCGGUAUUUGAACGGUGCCUCUGUGUGGAUUGGUCUAAAACGAGCUUCUACCUCAUUCACAUGGACGGACGGUACGGAGUUCUCUUACUCUAACGUUGUGGAAGACUACACGAUUUAUCAAGGAGAGUGCCUGGCAAAGUUCCCUGACUGGCAAAACAACAAGUGGACUCCUGCAAACUGUCCAUCCUCUUUUGGAUUUUUAUGCAAAAAGCCGGCAGAGAUCACUAAGUGGGACGAAUGGGGUGCCUGGAGCUCCUGUCAUUGUACUCACCAUAUUCAGUCCCGUCGGAGACAGUGCGCUGACCACGAAGGUAACCUGUCAUCGGACUGUCCAACGGGUGGAGAGGAAG